GAUGAACGCUGGCGGCGUGCCUAAUACAUGCAAGUCGAGCGAACAGGCGAGGAGCUUGCUCCUCUGACGUUAGCGGCGGACGGGUGAGUAACACGUGGAUAACCUACCUAUAAGACUGGGAUAACUUCGGGAAACCGGAGCUAAUACCGGAUAAUAUAUUGAACCGCAUGGUUCAAUAGUGAAAGACGGUUUUGCUGUCACUUAUAGAUGGAUCCGCGCCGCAUUAGCUAGUUGGUAAGGUAACGGCUUACCAAGGCAACGAUGCGUAGCCGACCUGAGAGGGUGAUCGGCCACACUGGAACUGAGACACGGUCCAGACUCCUACGGGAGGCAGCAGUAGGGAAUCUUCCGCAAUGGGCGAAAGCCUGACGGAGCAACGCCACGUGAGUGAUGAAGGUCUUCGGAUCGUAAAACUCUGUUAUUAGGGAAGAACAAAUGUGUAAGUAACUAUGCACGUCUUGACGGUACCUAAUCAGAAAGCCACGGCUAACUACGUG
rnacentral:rRNA from 1 species